UACAGAGGGUGCGAGCGUUAAUCGGAUUUACUGGGCGUAAAGGGUGCGUAGGCGGCUUUUUAAGUUUGGUGUGGAAUCUCCCGGCUCAACUGGGAGGGUGCGCCGAAUACUGAGAGGCUAGAGUGUGGGAGAGGAAAGUGGAAUUCCUGGUGUAGCGGUGAAAUGCGUAGAUAUCAGGAGGAACACCGGUGGUGUAAACGGCUUUCUGGACCAUAACUGACGCUGAGGCACGAAAGCGUGGGUAGCAAACAGG
rnacentral:rRNA from 1 species